GGAAGCAGCAGUACCUGGCGCGUGACAGGUCUCAGGCCUACGCUGAGUGGAAGAUGGCCCUUUACCAACCUGGUGAGUGAGUCU